GAUGAACGCUAGCGGGAGGCUUAACACAUGCAAGUCGAGGGGCAGCAUAAGGUAGCAAUACUUUGAUGGCGACCGGCGCACGGGUGAGUAACGCGUAUGUAACCUGUCCUUAACAGGAGGAUAACCCGGAGAAAUUCGGACUAAUACUGCAUAAAAUUAUAAAUAGGCAUCUAUUAAUAAUUAAAGCUACGGCGGUUAGGGAGGGGCAUGCGUAACAUUAGCUGGUUGGUAGGGUAACGGCCUACCAAGGCAAUGAUGUUUAGGGGACCUGAGAGGGUGACCCCCCACACUGGUACUGAGACACGGACCAGACUCCUACGGGAGGCAGCAGUGAGGAAUAUUGGUCAAUGGGCGGCAGCCUGAACCAGCCAUCCCGCGUGAAGGAAGAAUGCGCUAUGCGUUGUAAACUUCUUUUUCUUAGGGGGAUAAAAUUCUGUAUGUAUACAGGACUGAAGGUACCCUGAAGAAUAAAGCAUCGGCUAACUCCGUGCCAGCAGCCGCGGUAAAA
rnacentral:rRNA from 1 species